CAGCGCCCCACCAGUUGGCAGUUAUUUGCAUACAACUACGGAAAGUGCCUUCGGAAAAUCUGAUAUGCCGCCGUUUCCAGUGGUGGCCACGAGGCAAGACAGGCAAGGGAAAAAGGAAGAGGCAGCGAAACGCCGGAAGGGCAAAGGGACUUGGGGAUAGCCGACUUGAGGGGAAUGACACGCAGCCAAGAAGGCGGUAACUUGGCGGCGGCUGUGACCGCAGUACUCUCAGCUGCCUCUCCGUGUAGGUACCAGAUGGGUGGCUUCGGGCACAAACGGCGUAGAACAGGCAGACGGCUCAAGGCAUUGCAGGCACACACAGCAAAUGGUGUUUAAGGUCCCGGAGCUGAAAACAGGCCGAUACACACGUGACAAAAAGCGGAGACAUAGACAGAGAAACACCCUGAUAAGCAGCACAGGCUGUCUUCGACUUUGACAUCCAGGAACAGGAUUAUUUUUGAGGUGUCUCCGACCGUGAAGUCCUGUACCUUCAUGAGGAGAGACGCAGUAGGAGAGUGAGGCGCCUUUUGGGAUCUGACCGAGAGGAAGGACUCAUCGGAAUUCCCCUAGCUUUUGUUAAUCCUUUGUUCAUGUUUCGAAAUGAAGAGCUUAACGGUCUCCAUGAAGUAAAAAAAGCACCCAUUUUCUCUGUGCAGUCAAGUUUUUGUUGAGUGAUCCAGACCCGCACAAAAACCUGUGUGAGUGUCGAUGAACCUCGAGAGCCGCAGAGACUGAGAACACCUGUGUCCGGUGCUGCUGCUCAUCGCAG
rnacentral:lncRNA from 1 species